UACAGAGGUCUCAAGCGUUGUUCGGAUUCAUUGGGCGUAAAGGGUGCGUAGGCGGACUCUUAAGUCAGGGGUGAAAUCCUGGAGCUCAACUCCAGAACUGCCUUUGAUACUGGGAGUCUUGAGUCCGGGAGAGGUGAGUGGAACUGCGAGUGUAGAGGUGAAAUUCGUAGAUAUUCGCAAGAACACCAGUGGCGAAGCCGGCUCACUGGCCCGGUACUGACGCUGAGGUGCGAAAGCGUGGGGAGCAAACAGG
rnacentral:rRNA from 1 species